rnacentral:rRNA from 1 species
AUUGAACGCUGGCGGCAUGCUUUACACAUGCAAGUCGAACGGUAACAGGGUGCUUGCACCGCUGACGAGUGGCGAACGGGUGAGUAAUGCGUCGGAACGUGCCGAGUAGUGGGGGAUAACGCAGCGAAAGCUGUGCUAAUACCGCAUACGAACUGAGGUUGAAAGUGGGGGACCUUCGGGCCUCACGCUAUUCGAUCGGCCGACGUCUGAUUAGCUAGUUGGUAGGGUAAAGGCCUACCAAGGCGACGAUCAGUAGCGGGUCUGAGAGGAUGAUCCGCCACACUGGGACUGAGACACGGCCCAGACUCCUACGGGAGGCAGCAGUGGGGAAUUUUGGACAAUGGGGGAAACCCUGAUCCAGCCACGCCGCGUGUCUGAAGAAGGCCUUCGGGUUGUAAAGGACUUUUGUCCGGGAGCAGACACGCAGUGCUAAUAACGCUGUGGGCUGAGAGUACCGGAAGAAUAAGCACCGGCUAACUACGUGCCAGCCGCCGCCGUAACAC